AUUGAACGCUGGCGGCAGGCCUAACACAUGCAAGUCGAGCGGAUGAAGGGAGCUUGCUCCUGGAUUCAGCGGCGGACGGGUGAGUAAUGCCUAGGAAUCUGCCUGGUAGUGGGGGAUAACGUCCGGAAACGGGCGCUAAUACCGCAUACGUCCUGCGGGAGAAAGUGGGGGAUCUUCGGACCUCACGCUAUCAGAUGAGCCUAGGUCGGAUUAGCUAGUUGGUGGGGUAAAGGCCUACCAAGGCGACGAUCCGUAACUGGUCUGAGAGGAUGAUCAGUCACACUGGGACUGAGACACGGUCCAGACUCCUACGGGAGGCAGCAGUGGGGAAUAUUGGACAAUGGGCGAAAGCCUGAUCCAGCCAUGCCGCGUGUGUGAAGAAGGUCUUCGGAUUGUAAAGCACUUUAAGUUGGGAGGAAGGGCAGUAAGUUAAUACCUUGCUGUUUUGACGUUACCAACAGAAUAAGCACCGGCUAACUUCGUG
rnacentral:rRNA from 1 species